UACGAAGGGGGCUAGCGUUGUUCGGAAUUACUGGGCGUAAAGCGCACGUAGGCGGAUAUUUAAGUCAGGGGUGAAAUCCCGGGGCUCAACCUCGGAACUGCCUUUGAUGCUGGGUAUCUUGAGUAUGGAAGAGGUAAGUGGAAUUGCGAGUGUAGAGGUGAAAUUCGUAGAUAUUCGCAGGAACACCAGUGGCGAAGGCGGCUUACUGGUCCAUUACUGACGCUGAGGUGCGAAAGCGUGGGGAGCAAACAGGG
rnacentral:rRNA from 1 species